GAUGAACGCUGGCGGCGUGCCUAAUACAUGCAAGUCGAGCGAACCGAUAAGGAGCUUGCUCCUUUGAGGUUAACGGCGGACAGCUGAGUUACACGUGGAUAACCUACCUAUAAGACUGGGAUAACUUCGGGAAACCGGAGAUAAUACCGGAUAACAUAUGGAACGGCAUGGUUCAAGAGGGAAAAGCGGGUUUGCUGUCACUUAGAGAUGGAACCGCGCCUUAUUUGCUAGUUGGUAAGGGAACGGCAUACCAAGUGAACGGUACUUAACGGCCAUGAGAGGGAGAUCGGCCACAUUGGCAGAGAGAAUGAGCACAGACUCCUAGAGGAGGCAGCAGUAGGGACUCUUACGCGAUGGGGGAAAGCCUGAUGGAGCACCGCCGCGUCAGUGAUGAAGGUCUUCGGCUGGUAAAACUCUGUUAUCAGGAAAGAACAAAUGUGUAAGUAACUAUGAACAUCUUGACGGUACCUGAUCAGAAAGCCACGGCUAACUACGUG
rnacentral:rRNA from 1 species